AGCCCCGUGGUGUAGCGGUCAAAUUCUCUAAUUUUAUUAGGGGAGCCGAGGCAUCGUGCCCUUUGGAGGCAUGGACGGCAGUUCGAAUCUGCCCGGGGCUA
rnacentral:tRNA from 1 species